rnacentral:misc_RNA from 1 species
GAUGAAGAACGUAGCGAAAUGCGAUAAGUAAUGUGAAUUGCAGAAUUCAGUGAAUCAUCGAGUCUUUGAACGCACAUUGCGCCCCCUGGUAUUCCGGGGGGCAUGCCUGUUCGAGCGUCAUUAUAACCACUCAAGCUCUCGCUUGGUAUUGGGGUUCGCGGUUCCGCGGCCCCUAAAAUCAGUGGCGGUGCCUGUCGGCUCUACGCGUAGUAAUACUCCUCGCGAUUGAGUCCGGUAGGUCUACUUGCCAGCAACCCCCAAUUUUUACAGGUUGACCUCGGAUCAGGUAGGGAUACCCGCUGAACUUAAGCAUAUCAAUAAGCGGAGGA